UACAGAGGUCUCAAGCGUUGUUCGGAUUCAUUGGGCGUAAAGGGUGCGAGUAGGCGGCGCGGUAAGUCGGAUGUGAAAUCUCGGAGCUUAACUCCGAAACUGCAUUCGAUACUGCCGUGCUUGAGGACUGGAGAGGAGACUGGAAUUUACGGUGUAGCGGUGAAAUGCGUAGAUAUCGGGAGGAACAUCAGUGGCGAAGGCGGCUACCUGGCCCAAUACUGACACUCAGGUGCGACAGCGUGGGGAGCAAACAGG
rnacentral:rRNA from 1 species